GAUGAACGCUGGCGGCGUGCCUAACACAUGCAAGUCGAACGGGGAACUCUCAAAUGAAGGUUCGCUGGAUUUUGAGAAAUUCUAGUGGCGGACGGGUGAGUAACGCGUGGGUAACCUGCCCUUAAGAGGGGAAUAACACCGAGAAAUCGGUGCUAAUACACCAUAUGCUUACAGUAUCGCAUGAUACAGUGAGGAAAUGAAUUUCGCUUAAGGAUGGACCCGCGUUUGAUUAGCCAGUUGGCAGGGUAACGGCCUACCAAAGCGACGAUCAGUAGCCGGCCUGAGAGGGCGACCGGCCACAUUGGGACUGAGACACGGCCCAAACUCC
rnacentral:rRNA from 1 species